GGAGGGUUGGCCGAGUGGUUUAAGGCGGCGGUCUUGAAAACCGUUGGCGGGGUGACUCGCCCGGGGGUUCGAAUCCCUCACCCUCCGCCA
rnacentral:tRNA from 1 species